UACGUAGGUGGCAAGCGUUGUCCGGAUUUAUUGGGCGUAAAGCGCCCGCAGGCGGCUCGCCAAGUUUCAGGUGAAAUCUCCCGGCUUAACUGGGAGGGGUCCUGGAAAACUGGCAGGCUUGAGGCAGGGAGAGGGAUGCGGAAUUCCUAGUGUAGCGGUGAAAUGCGCAGAUAUCAGGAAGAACACCAAUGGCGAAGGCAGCUCUCUGGGACGGUACUGACGCUGAGACGCGAAAGCGUGGGGAGCGAACAGG
rnacentral:rRNA from 1 species